rnacentral:rRNA from 1 species
GAUGAACGCUGGCGGCGUGCUUAACACAUGCAAGUCGAACGAAGCACCUUGAUUUGAUUCUUCGGAUGAAGAUCUUGGUGACUGAGUGGCGGACGGGUGAGUAACGCGUGGGUAACCUGCCUCAUACAGGGGGAUAACAGUUAGAAAUGACUGCUAAUACCGCAUAAGACCACAGCACCGCAUGGUGCAGGGGUAAAAACUCCGGUGGUAUGAGAUGGACCCGCGUCUGAUUAGGUAGUUGGUGGGGUAACGGCCUACCAAGGCGAGGAUCAGUAGCCGACCAGAGAGAGUGACCGGCCACAGUGGGACUGAGACACGGCCCAAACUCCUACGGGAGGCAGCAGUGGGGAAUAUUGCACAAUGGGGGAAACCCUGAUGCAGCGACGCCGCGUGAGCGAUGAAGUAUUUCGGUAUGUGAAGCUCGAUCAGCAGGGAAGAAAAUGACGGUACCUGACUAAGAAGCACCGGCUAAAUACGUG